GUAGCUGGCAGACUUUCUGCAUGUGCCCGCCCGUCAUAUUUAUAUUUCCACCUGUGCACUUUCUGUAGAUGUAGGGAAAAAAGGUUUUCGAGGUUAUUUGCUUUUCUUCGGGAAAGUUUGUAGCUUCACUUUUCAUCUCAUCUAUGUUUUAUCAUAUACUCCAAAAAUAUAACAGAAUGUAUCAAUGGGCUUUUUUUGCCUAUAAUAAAAACUAUACAACUUUCAGCAACGGAUCUCUUGGCUCUCGCAUCGAUGAAGAACGCAGCGAAAUGCGAUAAGUAAUGUGAAUUGCAGAAUUCAGUGAAUCAUCGAAUCUUUGAACGCACCUUGCGCUCCUUGGUAUUCCAGGGAGCAUGCCUGKUUGAGUGUCAWUAAAUUCUCAACUUUAGCAACUUUUAUUGGUUUGUUCGAGUUGGAUUUGGGGGCUUGUUUGUUGGCUUUAGAAAGUCAACUCCCCUGAAAUGUAUUAGCCAGUUUGCCUUGACUUGGUCUAUUUGGUGUGAUAAUUAUCAAUGCCAUUUGGAUUGUCUUGUAGCACUGCUUCUAAUGGUCCAUUUG
rnacentral:rRNA from 1 species